rnacentral:rRNA from 1 species
CCUACGGGGGGCAGCAGUCGAGAAUCAUUCACAAUGGGGGAAACCCUGAUGGCGCGACGCCGCGUGGGGGAAUGAAGGUCUCCGGAUUGUAAACCCCUGUCAUGUGGGAGCAAAUUAAAAAGAUAGUACCACAAGAGGAAGAGACGGCUAACUCUGUGCCAGCAGCCGCGGUAAUACAGAGGUCUCAAGCGUUGUUCGGAAUCACUGGGCGUAAAGCGUGCGUAGGCUGUUUCGUAAGUCGUGUGUGAAAGGCGCGGGCUCAACCCGCGGACGGCACUUGAUACUGCGAGACUAGAGUAAUGGAGGGGGAACCGGAAUUCUCGGUGUAGCAGUGAAAUGCGUAGAUAUCGAGAGGAACACUCGUGGCGAAGGCGGGUUCCUGGACAUUAACUGACGCUGAGGCACGAAGGCCAGGGGAGCGAAAAGGAUUAGAUACCCGUGUAGUC